AGUGCUCUUACCCACUUAGCCAACUCACUAGCUCAAUACAGAGAAGAUUAACAUGGCCCUGUGUAAGGAUGACAUGCAAUUUAUGAACUAUUUUAUAUUUAA